GAUGAAGAACGCAGCGAAAUGCGAUAAGUAGUGUGAAUUGCAGAAUUCAGUGAAUCAUCGAAUCUUGAACGCACAUUGCGCCCUUUGGUAUUCCUUAGGGCAUGCCUGUUCGAGCGUCAUCUAAACCUUCAAGCUCAGCUUGGUGAUGGGCGACUGUCCCCCCCCCUCGCGGGGGGGACUCGCCUCAAAAACAUUGGCGGCCGGUACAUUGGCUUCGAGCGCAGCAGAAACGCGGUCUCGAGCCCGGUGGAUCGGCUCCCAUAAGCCUAUUCUUUUAUUUUGACCUCGGAUCAGGUAGGGAUACCCGCUGAACUUAAGCAUAUCAUAAGCGGAGGA
rnacentral:misc_RNA from 1 species